AAAUAUUGCCGAAGACAGCAGGUGUCGCAAGACGUAAGAUGAAAUCGCCUGCCGAGGGAAUAAGUUAAUAUGAUAUAUGACUUAUGCACCUCUCUGUCUUCAGAGAGGUUUUUU
rnacentral:sRNA from 1 species